rnacentral:rRNA from 1 species
UGAGGAAUAUUGGUCAAUGGGCGAGAGCCUGAACCAGCCAAGUAGCGUGCAGGAUGACGGCCCUAUGGGUUGUAAACUUCUUUUAUAUGGGAAUAAAGUGAGGGACGUGUCCCUUAUUGCAUGUACCAUACGAAUAAGGACCGGCUAAUUCCGUGCCAGCAGCCGCGGUAAUACGGAAGGUCCAGGCGUUAUCCGGAUUUAUUGGGUUUAAAGGGAGCGUAGGCUGUUUGUUAAGCGUGUUGUGAAAUGUAAGAGCUCAACUUUUAGAUUGCAGAGCGAACUGGCAGAGUUGAGUGCGCACAACGUAGGCGGGAUGCAUGGUGUAGCGGUGAAAUGCUUAGAUAUCAUGACGAACUCCGAUUGCGAAGGCAGCUUACGGGAGCGCAACUGACGCUAAAGCUCGAAGGUGCGGGUAUCGAACAGG